GACGAACGCUGGCGGCGUGCUUAACACAUGCAAGUCGAACGGAAAGGCCCUGCUUUUGUGGGGUGCUCGAGUGGCGAACGUGUGAGUAACACGUGAGUAACCUGCCCUUGACUUUGGGAUAACUUCAGGAAACUGGGGCUAAUACCGGAUAGGAGCUCCUGCUGCAUGGUGGGGGUUGGAAAGUUUCGGCGGUUGGGGAUGGACUCGCGGCUUAUCAGCUUGUUGGUGGGGUAGUGGCUUACCAAGGCUUUGACGGGUAGCCGGCCUGAGAGGGUGACCGGCCACAUUGGGACUGAGAUACGGCCCAGACUCCUACGGAAGGCAGAAGUGGGGAAUAUUGCACAAUGGGCGGAAGACUGAUGCAGCAACGCCGCGUGCGGGAUGACGGCCUUCGGGUUGUAAACCGCUUUCGCCUGUGACGAAGCGUGAGUGACGGUAAUGGGUAAAGAAGCACCGGCUAACUACGUG
rnacentral:rRNA from 1 species